rnacentral:rRNA from 1 species
GAUGAACGCUGGCGGCGUGCUUAACACAUGCAAGUCGAACGAUGAAGCCCAGCUUGCUGGGUGGAUUAGUGGCGAACGGGUGAGUAACACGUGAGUAACCUGCCCUUAACUCUGGGAUAAGCCUGGGAAACUGGGUCUAAUACCGGAUAGGAGCGUCCACCGCAUGGUGGGUGUUGAAAGAUUUAUUGGUUUUGGAUGGACUCGCGGCCUAUCAGCUUGUUGGUGAGGUAAUGGCUCACCAAGGCGACGACGGGUAGCCGGCCUGAGAGGGUGACCGGCCACACUGGGACUGAGACACGGCCCAGACUCCUACGGGAGGCAGCAGUGGGGAAUAUUGCACAAUGGGCGCAAGCCUGAUGCAGCGACGCCGCGUGAGGGAUGACGGCCUUCGGGUUGUAAACCUCUUUCAGUAGGGAAGAAGCGAAAGUGACGGUACCUGCAGAAGAAGCACCGGCUAACUACGUG